rnacentral:misc_RNA from 1 species
GAUGAAGAACGCAGCGAAAUGCGAUAAGUAAUGUGAAUUGCAGAAUUCAGUGAAUCAUCGAAUCUUUGAACGCACCUUGCGCUCGUUGGUAUUCCGACGAGCAUGCCUGUUUGAGUGUCAUUAAAUUCUCAACUCUCCUAUACUUUGUUGUAAAGGAGGGCUUGGAUUGUGGAGGCUUGCUGGCCGCUUGAUGUGGUCAGCUCCUCUGAAAUGCAUUAGCAGAACUGUUUGCGAUCUGCCACAAGUGUGAUAAAUUAUCUACACUGGCGAGGGGAUUGCUCUCUGUGUUCAGCUUCUAAUCGUCUUCAGUGACAAUUUCUUGAAUGCUUGACCUCAAAUCAGGUAGGACUACCCGCUGAACUUAAGCAUAUCAAUAAGCGGAGGA